rnacentral:rRNA from 1 species
ACGGGUGAGUAACACGUGGGCAAUCUGCCCUUCACUCUGGGACAAGCCCUGGAAACGGGGUCUAAUACCGGAUAUCACUUCCACUCGCAUGGGUGGGGGUUGAAAGCUCCGGCGGUGAAGGAUGAGCCCGCGGCCUAUCAGCUUGUUGGUGAGGUAAUGGCUCACCAAGGCGACGACGGGUAGCCGGCCUGAGAGGGCGACCGGCCACACUGGGACUGAGACACGGCCCAGACUCCUACGGGAGGCAGCAGUGGGGAAUAUUGCACAAUGGGCGAAAGCCUGAUGCAGCGACGCCGCGUGAGGGAUGACGGCCUUCGGGUUGUAAACCUCUUUCAGCAGGGAAGAAGCGAAAGUGACGGUACCUGCAGAAGAAGCGCCGGCUAACUACGUGCCAGCAGCCGCGGUAAUACGUAGGGCGCAAGCGUUGUCCGGAAUUAUUGGGCGUAAAGAGCUCGUAGGCGGUCUGUCGCGUCGGAUGUGAAAGCCCGGGGCUUAACCCCGGGUCUGCAUUCGAUACGGGCAGACUAGAGUGUGGUAAGGGAGAUCGGAAUUCCUGGUGUAGCGGUGAAAUGCGCAGA